rnacentral:piRNA from 1 species
UAUUUUAGAACACCUUCAAAG